UAUAUUUUAGUGUUACUAGCAUUUAAAUUUUUGAAAUUUAAGGUUUAAUUUAGUUUAAAAAUAUAA
rnacentral:tRNA from 1 species